UCUGGUGAAAAUCGCGGAAGGGUCACACCCGUUCCCAUUCCGAACACGACCGUUAAGCCUUCCAGCGCCGAUGGUACUUGGGGCAGGUCCCCGGGAGAGUAGGUCUCCGCCAGAU
rnacentral:rRNA from 1 species